rnacentral:rRNA from 1 species
UACGUAGGGUGCAAGCGUUAUCCGGAAUUAUUGGGCGUAAAGAGCUCGUAGGCGGUUUGUCGCGUCUGCUGUGAAAACCUGAGGCUCAACCUCAGGCCUGCAGUCGAUACGGGCGGACUUGAGUACUGCAGGGGAGACUGGAAUCCUGGUGUAGCGGUGAAAUGCGCAGAUAUCAGGAGGAACACCGGUGGCGAAGGCGGGGUCUCUGGGCAGUAACUGACGCUGGAGGAGCGAAAGCGUGGGGAGCGAACAGGG